AGACGCAGAAGUCUCAAAGUGUCGGAUUGUUCACCCGCCAAUAGGGAACGUGAGCUGGGUUUAGACCGUCGUGAGACAGGUUAGUUUUACCCUACUGACAAAGUAGAUACUGCGACAGUAGUCGAAGUUAGUACGAGAGGAACACUUCGUCCAGAUACUUGGUUAAUGCCGUUGUCUGAAAAGACAGUACGGCGAAGCUACCAUCUGCUGGAUUACGGCUGAACGCCUCUAAGCCGGAAUCCAUGCUGGAUAAGCAGUGUUGUACACCGUGCUCAAUGCUACAAGAAAAAGGCUAGGUCAGGCUUCGGCCUGACCAAAAUUCAAGCUGCUAUACCUCUGGCUGCAUUGACUUGUGGUCAGAGUGUAUGGUGAUCAUAGCAAUUGCAAGUAUUGGGCUCGAUAAAUCCUUUGAAGACGACUUAAUUGCAUCCGGGUAUUGUAAGUGUUGAGAGUAGGCUUAGUCUUACGAUCCACUGAGAUUCAUCCCGUGUUGCGCCGAUUUGU
rnacentral:ncRNA from 1 species